GAAUUGCAUUUGCCAAAUCAGACAGAAAAUCAUCCAUUCCCUCUGAUCCAAGUGUCUCGUCAUUCUCCACAGUUGGAUCAACUUCCAUUGCAUACAAAUUGUUGAAUCCAUUGACAAGUGUAGGUGCCUUUGUAAAGCGUUGUUGAAAGGCGUCACUGAGAUUAUGAGCAGGGUCAGUAGAAAUGAUAAGAACUGAAGAUCUGACCUGAGAAAGAAGGACACCCA
rnacentral:misc_RNA from 1 species